UCUCUCUCUCUCUCAGGUGUCUAACUGGUUUGGUAACAAGAGGAUCAGGUACAAGAAGAACAUAGGGAAGUUCCAGGAGGAAGCUAACCUGUACGCUGUGAAAACAGCUGUAGACGCAGCCAGCGUCUCCUCACAGGCCAGCCAGGCCAACUCCCCCGCCACGCCUAACUCAGGUGGAUAUCCAGCACCGUGCUACACUCCUGACGGGAUGUUAUGAGGAGCUGCCUGGAGGAACUCUGUUUCCCUCCACUGUCUCCAUGUUGAUAGUGGAUGGCAGGACAGCACUGACCACCCCUCUCUCACCCCCCCUCACGGGACACCGGGCAGCGUGCACUCGGACACCUCAAACUGAGACACCAACUCACCCCAAA